rnacentral:rRNA from 1 species
CCUACGGGUGGCAGCAGUGAGGAAUAUUGGUCAAUGGGCGAGAGCCUGAACCAGCCAAGUCGCGUGAGGGAAGACGGUCCUAUGGAUUGUAAACCUCUUUUGCCGGGGCGCAAAAAGCGGUACGUGUACCGCAUCGAGAGUACCCGGAGAUAAAGCAUCGGCUAACUCCGUGCCAGCAGCCGCGGUAAUACGUAGGGAGCAAGCGUGGUCCGGAAUUACGGGGCGUAAAGGGCGCGUAGGUGGGUGCUUAAGUCAGGUGUGAAAACUCUGGGCUAAACCUGGGGACUGCCAUUGAAACUGGGUAUCUAGAGGGAAGGAGAGGAAAGUGGAAUUCCUAGUGUAGCGGGGAAAUGCGUAGAUAUUAGGAAGAACACCAGGGGCGAAGGCGACUUUCUGGACUGAACCUGACGCUGAGGCGCGAAAGCGUGGGUAGCAAACAGGAUUAGAUACCCUAGUAGUC